AAAAAAAUGGUGAUAAGGAAUAGUAUAUAAGAGUUAACUUUUAAGAGAGCUAGAGUUUGGUGCGAUCUAGUAAGUGAGCCUUAUGGAAGCAGCCUUUGAAUUUUAUAGCUGAGAAAUAAAAGUUAUUAUAUGUAACUUUUAAUUAGGCUAUAACGUAAUCCUCACGUUAUAGAGGUGGAGUAUUAAUUGUACUCUAUCUGAGUGAACAAUAUUUAUAUUGUUUAUUAGGGUGGUACCGCGAAGCAGUUCCUUCGUCCCUUGU
rnacentral:ncRNA from 1 species